GAUGAACGCUGGCGGCGUGCCUAAUACAUGCAAGUCGAGCGAACAGACGAGGAGCUUGCUCCUCUGACGUUAGCGGCGGACGGGUGAGUAACACGUGGAUAACCUACCUAUAACACUGGGAUAACUUCGGGAAACCGGAGCUAAUACCGGAUAAUAUAUUGAACCGCAUGGUUCAAUAGUGAAAGACGGUUUUGCUGUCACUUAUAGAUGGAUCCGCGCCGCAUUAGCUAGUUGGUAAGGUAACGGCUUACCAAGGCAACGAUGCGUAGCCGACCUGAGAGGGUGAUCGGCCACACUGGAACUGAGACACGGUCCAGACUCCUACGGGAGGCAGCAGUAGGGAAUCUUCCGCAAUGGGCGAAAGCCUGACGGAGCAACGCCGCGUGAGUGAUGAAGGUCUUCGGAUCGUAAAACUCUGUUAUUAGGGAAGAACAAAUGUGUAAGUAACUAUGCACGUCUUGACGGUACCUAAUCAGAAAGCCACGGCUAACUACGUG
rnacentral:rRNA from 1 species